rnacentral:rRNA from 1 species
UAAGACGAACCGUGCGAACGUUGUUCGGAAUCACUGGGCUUAAAGGGCGCGUAGGCGGAUCAUCAAGUCCGGGGUGAAAUCUUUCGGCUUAACCGGAAAAGUGCCUUGGAUACUGAUGGUCUCGAGUGAGGUAGGGGCAUGUGGAACUUCUGGUGGAGCGGUGAAAUGCGUUGAUAUCAGAAGGAACUCCGGUGGCGAAAGCGACGUGCUGGACCUCUUCUGACGCUGAGGCGCGAAAGCUAGGGGAGCGAACGGGAUUAGAUACCCCGGUAGUCCUAGCCCUAAACGAUGGGUACUAGGUUGUGGACUUAACAUGGGUUCACAGCCGAAGCAAAAGUGUUAAGUACCCCGCCUGGGGAGUAUGGUCGCAAGGCUG